CUUGGUUGCUUGUCUUUCAUUUCUUACCAUUUGAAAGUUCAUAUACUCUCCACUAUCUCUCAUGUUCAUACCUACAUCCUCCUUUCUUGUCAUCUUUUAUCUCUUUCUCCGUUUCUUUUCAUCCCUCCAACUUGGCACCCUUUCAGUUAUUUCAUUUUUCUCUGAAAUUUCCUCAUGCAGUGAAACGAUAGCUCCUCAAUUUUAGAUCAAUGACCCCCCCAGCCCACUUCUGCACCCUUCAGUCAAUGUUGAAAUUUCGUUUCAUUUUCAUUUGAUCCCUAUUGUGACACAAUACAACUAGCGCUCAACGACACAGAUCAUUUGCCAGGAGUUCGUUAGUACCGAUUUAGCCGUCGUUGCGUGAUGGUCGAUAUUUAUUGUGCAGAGUGAAUGAUUACCCAGUAGCAGGAUUUGUGUGUAUUCCUAAAAUACUGGAUAUUUACUUUUGAGAUAAUACCCAAGUUGACUUCUGCUGACGAUUAGGAGAUUCUGUAUCGAAGCUAUACAGCCAUGAUCCAGAGGCACAACGGGUAAAAUCUAUCGGACAUGAGGAUAGUUUUGAUAUCCAACGAUCCAUCAGUCACUAGUAAAAACUAUCACAUUGGAGGUCACCUAUGAGGACUAUACGUCUUUAGGCAUCAUCGAUACGGAAUU